GAUUAAGUUAUUAAGGGCGCACGGUGGAUGCCUUGGCACUAGAAGCCGAUGAAGGACGUUACUAACGACGAUAUGCUUUGGGUAGCUGUAAGUAAGCGUUGAUCCAGAGAUUUCCGAAUGGGGGAACCCAGCAUGAGUUAUGUCAUGUUAUCGACAUGUGAAUUCAUAGCAUGUCAGAAGGCAGACCCGGAGAACUGAAACAUCUUAGUACCCGGAGGAAGAGAAAGAAAAAUCGAUUCCCUGAGUAGCGGCGAGCGAAACGGGAAGAGCCCAAACCAACAAGCUUGCUUGUUGGGGUUGUAGGACACUCUAUACGGAGUUACAAAAGAACAUGUUAGACGAAUCAUCUGGAAAGAUGAAUCAAAGAAGGUAAUAAUCCUGUAGUCGAAAACAUAUUCUCUCUUGAGUGGAUCCUGAGUACGACGGAGCACGUGAAAUUCCGUCGGAAUCUGGGAGGACCAUCUCCUAAGGCUAAAUACUCUCUAGUGACCGAUAGUGAACCAGUACCGUGAGGGAAAGGUGAAAAGUACCCCGGAAGGGGAGUGAAAGAGAACUUGAAACCGUGUGCUUACAAGUAGUCAGAGCCCGUUAAUGGGUGAUGGCGUGCCUUUUGUAGAAUGAACCGGCGAGUUACGAUCUGAUGCAAGGUUAAGCAGCAAAUGUGGAGCCGCAGCGAAAGCGAGUCUGAAUAGGGCGUUGAGUAUUUGGUCGUAGACCCGAAACCAGGUGAUCUACCCUUGGUCAGGUUGAAGUUCAGGUAACACUGAAUGGAGGACCGAACCGACUUACGUUGAAAAGUGAGCGGAUGAACUGAGGGUAGCGGAGAAAUUCCAAUCGAACUUGGAGAUAGCUGGUUCUCUCCGAAAUAGCUUUAGGGCUAGCCUCAAGUGAUGAUUAUUGGAGGUAGAGCACUGUUUGGACGAGGGGCCCCUCUCGGGUUACCGAAUUCAGACAAACUCCGAAUGCCAAUUAAUUUAACUUGGGAGUCAGAACAUGGGUGAUAAGGUCCGUGUUCGAAAGGGAAACAGCCCAGACCACCAGCUAAGGUCCCAAAAUAUAUGUUAAGUGGAAAAGGAUGUGGCGUUGCCCAGACAACUAGGAUGUUGGCUUAGAAGCAGCCAUCAUUUAAAGAGUGCGUAAUAGCUCACUAGUCGAGUGACACUGCGCCGAAAAUGUACCGGGGCUAAACAUAUUACCGAAGCUGUGGAUUGUCCUUUGGACAAUGGUAGGAGAGCGUUCUAAG
rnacentral:rRNA from 1 species